UACAGAGGGUGCGAGCGUUGUCCGGAAUCACUGGGCGUAAAGGGUGCGUAGGCGGGUUUUUAAGUCAGAGGUGAAAUCCUGGAGCUCAACUCCAGAACUGCCUUUGAUACUGAGAGUCUUGAGUUCGGGAGAGGUGAGUGGAACUGCGAGUGUAGAGGUGAAAUUCGUAGAUAUUCGCAAGAACACCAGUGGCGAAGGCGGCUCACUGGCCCGAUACUGACGCUGAGGCACGAAAGCGUGGGGAGCAAACAGG
rnacentral:rRNA from 1 species